AUUGAACGCUGGCGGCAGGCUUAACACAUGCAAGUCGAGCGGGGGAAGGUAGCUUGCUACUGGACCUAGCGGCGGACGGGUGAGUAAUGCUUAGGAAUCUGCCUAUUAGUGGGGGACAACAUCUCGAAAGGGAUGCUAAUACCGCAUACGUCCUACGGGAGAAAGCAGGGGAUCUUCGGACCUUGCGCUAAUAGAUGAGCCUAAGUCGGAUUAGCUAGUUGGUGGGGUAAAGGCCUACCAAGGCGACGAUCUGUAGCGGGUCUGAGAGGAGGAUCCGCCACACUGGGACUGAGACACGGCCCAGACUCCUACGGGAGGCAGCAGUGGGGAAUAUUGGACAAUGGGGGGAACCCUGAUCCAGCCAUGCCGCGUGUGUGAAGAAGGCCUUAUGGUUGUAAAGCACUUUAAGCGAGGAGGAGGCUACUUUAGUUAAUACCUAGAGAUAGUGGACGUUACUCGCAGAAUAAGCACCGGCUAACUCUGUGCAGCAGCCGCCGUAA
rnacentral:rRNA from 1 species